CAGCACCUCAAGUGGUCAGGAUGAUUAUUGGGCCUAAAGCAUCCGUAGCCGGCGCUGUAAGUUUUCGGUUAAAUCUGUACGCUCAACGUACAGGCUGCCGGGAAUACUGCAAAGCUAGGGAGUGGGAGAGGUAGACGGUACUCGGUAGGAAGGGGUAAAAUCCUUUGAUCUAUUGAUGACCACCUGUGGCGAAGGCGGUCUACCAGAACACGUCCGACGGUGAGGGAUGAAAGCUGGGGGAGCAAACCGGAUUAGAUACCCGCGUAGUCC
rnacentral:rRNA from 1 species